AUACGUAGGUGACAAGCGUUAUCCGGAUUUACUGGGCGUAAAGGGCGCGUAGGCGGUCUUGCAAGUCAGAAGUGAAAUUCCUGAGCUCAACUCGGGCGCUGCUUCUGAAACUGCAGGGCUUGAGUGCUGGAGGGGAUAGCGGAAUUCCUAGUGGAGCGGUAAAAUGCGCAGAUAUUAGGAAGAACACCGGUGGCGAAGGCGGCUCUCUGGACAGUACCUGACGCUGAGGCGCGAAAGCGUGGGGAGCAAACAGGAUUAGAUACCCUGGUAGUCCACGCCGUAAACGAUGAACACUAGGUGUAGGGGGUAUCGACUCCCUCUGUGCCGCAGUUAACACAAUAAGUAUUCCGCCUGGGGAGUACGGCCGCAAGGUUGAAACUCAAAUGAAUUGACGGGG
rnacentral:rRNA from 1 species